rnacentral:rRNA from 1 species
UACAGAGGGUGCAAGCGUUGUUCGGAAUUACUGGGCGUAAAGCGCGUGUAGGCGGUUUGGCAAGUCAGACGUGAAAUCCCUUGGCUCAACUGAGGAACUGCGUCUGAUACUGCUAGGCUAGAGUGUCGGAGGGGAUGGUGGAAUUCCCGGUGUAGAGGUGAAAUUCGUAGAUAUCGGGAGGAACACCCGUGGCGAAGGCGACCAUCUGGAAGACAACUGACGCUGAGACGCGAAAGCGUGGGUAGCAAACAGG